rnacentral:siRNA from 1 species
GUGAGUAUCACCUAUGAACAUGCU